rnacentral:rRNA from 1 species
GACGAACGCUGGCGGCGUGCUUAACACAUGCAAGUCGAACGGAAAGGCCCUGCUUUUGUGGGGUGCUCGAGUGGCGAACGGGUGAGUAACACGUGAGUAACCUGCCCUUGACUUUGGGAUAACUUCAGGAAACUGGGGCUAAUACCGGAUAGGAGCUCCUGCUGCAUGGUGGGGGUUGGAAAGUUUCGGCGGUUGGGGAUGGACUCGCGGCUUAUCAGCUUGUUGGUGGGGUAGUGGCUUACCAAGGCUUUGACGGGUAGCCGGCCUGAGAGGGUGACCGGCCACAUUGGGACUGAGAUACGGCCCGGACUCCUACGGGAGGCAGCAGUGGGGAAUAUUGCACAAUGGGCGGAAGCCUGAUGCAGCAACGCCGCGUGCGGGAUGACGGCCUUCGGAUUGUAAACCGCUUUCGCCUGUGACGAAGCGUGAGUGACGGUAAUGGGUAAAGAAGCACCGGCUAACUACGUG